rnacentral:rRNA from 1 species
CCUACGGGAGGCAGCAGUGGGGAAUUUUGGACAAUGGGCGCAAGCCUGAUCCAGCCAUGCCGCGUGCGGGAAGAAGGCCUUCGGGUUGUAAACCGCUUUUGGCAGGAACGAAACGGCGACUUCUAAUACGAGUCGUUAAUGACGGUACCUGCAGAAUAAGCACCGGCUAACUACGUGCCAGCAGCCGCGGUAAUACGUAGGGUGCAAGCGUUAAUCGGAAUUACUGGGCGUAAAGCGUACGCAGGUGGCUUUGCAAGACAGGUGUGAAAUCCCCGGGCCUAACCUGGGAACUGCAUUUGUGACUGCAUGGCUAGAGUCUGUCAGAGGGGGGUGGAAUUCCACGUGUAGCAGUGAAAUGCGUAGAGAUGUGGAAGAACACCGAUGGCGAAGGCAGCCCCCUGGGAUGAGACUGACGCUCAUGUACGAAAGCGUGGGGAGCAAACAGGAUUAGAUACCCUGGUAGUCCACGCCCUAAACGAUGUCUACUAGUUGUCGGAGGGUAACUCCUUCGGUAACGCAGCUAACGCGUGAAGUAGACCGCCUGGGGAGUACGGUCGCAAGAUUAAAACUCAAAGGAAUUGACGG